rnacentral:rRNA from 1 species
GACGAACGCUGGCGGCGUGCUUAACACGUGCAAGUCGAACGAUGAACCCGGAGCUUGCUCCGGCGGAUUAGUGGCGAACGGGUGAGUAACACGUGAGUAACCUGCCCUUGACUCUGGGAUAACUGCUAGAAAUGGUAGCUAAUACCGGAUACGACCCUCGGUGGCAUCACCAGGGGGUGGAAAGAAUUUCGGUCAAGGAUGGACUCGCGGCCUAUCAGCUAGUUGGUGAGGUAACGGCUCGCCAAGGCGACGACGGGUAGCCGGCCUGAGAGGGUGACCGGCCACACUGGGACUGAGACACGGCCCAGACUCCUACGGGAGGCAGCAGUGGGGAAUAUUGCACAAUGGGCGCAAGCCUGAUGCAGCAACGCCGCGUGAGGGAUGACGGCCUUCGGGUUGUAAACCUCUUUUAGUAGGGAAGAAGCGAAAGUGACGGUACCUGCAGAAAAAGCACCGGCUAACUACGUGCCAGCCGCCGCGGUAA